rfam:Punica granatum cultivar Dabenzi scaffold189, whole genome shotgun sequence.
GUCUCUUAGAGACAUCCAAUAAAAUUGGGACCACGCGGACCAUAUUAGCAUGGCCCCAAGGCAAGGAUGACACAUCACAAAUCGAGAAAUAAAUAAUGCUU